rnacentral:rRNA from 1 species
UACGUAGGGUGCAAGCGUUGUCCGGAAUUAUUGGGCGUAAAGAGCUCGUAGGCGGCCUGUCGCGUCGGUUGUGAAAGCCCGGGGCUCAACCUGGGAAUUGCAUUUGAGACUGAAUAGCUAGGGUGCGGAAGAGGGAAGCGGAAUUUCCGGUGUAGCGGUGAAAUGCGUAGAUAUCGGAAGGAACACCAGUGGCGAAAGCGGCUUCCUGGUCCAGCACCGACGUCAGGCACGAAAGCGUGGGGAGCAAACAGG